UUUUUUUUUUUUUGUCUUUUUAGGGCCACACCUGAAGCAUAUGGAAGUUCCGGGCUAGGGGUUGAAUCGGAGCUGUGGAUGCUGGCCUACACCACAGCCACAGCAACUUAGCAUCCGAGCCACAUCCUCGUCCUUCACCACAGCUUACUACAACGUCAGAUCCUUAACCCACAGAGUGAGGCCAAGAAUUGAACCUGCAUCCUCAUGGAUUCUAGUCGGAUUUGUUUCUACUGAGCCAUGAUUCAUUUCUGCUGAGCCACAAUGGGAACUUCUCAAUUCUGCAUUCUUCUAAUCAGCUGCACCAUCAUAAAUUUUAGAAUCCGGAUGUCUAGUUUUCUAAACUUGUUCUUUGCUAGUAUAGGUUUUCUGAUAUAAAUUUUAUAAUCUGUCAAUUUCUAAAAAGUUCUCAAGGAUCCUGACUGAGAUUUCACCAUCUCUAUGGAGCAAUUUUGGGGAAAUCUACAUCGUAAUAUUGAUGUCAAUACAUAAACAUGGUAUAUCUUUCCAUUUAUUUGGGCCUUCUCUAGUAUUUCUCAGCAACGUCUUAUAGUUUUCAUCAAAAAGCCUUAUACUUGUAUUUAUGCCGAGGUAUUUCAUGGUUUGAGGUCUCUUGUAUUAUUAUUUUCUUUACAAUCAUGACGACUGGAUGGAGGUACCGAUGUCUCGUUUUGGUUUCUAUUUGUAUUUCCCUGAUGACCAGUGAGGUUGGGCAUCUUUUCAUGUGUAUUAACCAAUGGAGCUUCUCUUUUGUCUGUUGCCUUAGACCACUUGGCCAUCCUGACAUGCUUUGGAGCUUUUCUUUUGGAAUGUGCUUGUUGACGUGUUUAGGUCACAUCAACAUAAAUGGUCUGCCUUUCCCUUCUUUAUUUGUAAGGAUUCUUUACCUAUUCUGAAUACAGUCCAUUUUCAGGGUGGGUAUGUUGGAAAUAUCUUCUUCUGCCCUGUUGCUGACCUCUUUACUCUCCUGAUGAGCAUCAGUACAAACUGACCAGUUCACCCUGAGUUCAGCUGUGGAGACAUCAAUCUCUUCCAAUUCUGGAGGAAAACACGUUUGUGUGGAAUUCACUGCUAGACAGGAUAGCUAUUCACUGCACGUUAUGGAGAGUUUCAGAGAUUUUCGAAGAGCAACUCUAACCUCUACGUUUCCCCUUACACGCUGCCUGGAAAGCCAUCCCCUAAGUCAUGAGUCUACUGAGGUGUUCCAGACUUUAUGAGAAAGCCAAAAAAGGUGUGAGGUGCAGCCCUUGAUCUCCAGACACUCAAAAUUUAGGUAAGGAAACAGAUCCCGUAUUACAGCACCAAGGAACAAAGAUAAUUCCUUGAAUAUCACCUGCCUUUUCCAUGCUUUUUUUGGGGAAGCUCUUUCCUCUCUGUCUAGAAUGCCCUUUCCACUUCCCCAUUUCUCUUUCCAAAUGGAGCUCAAAUAUCACCUCCCCUUCAUAUAUUUCUCUCACUUUGGUCAGUCCUCAGCUGUGUCUCUGACACUGCUCUGGUUCAGCCCCUGUUUCUUCUCCAGCACUCUAAGCCCACCACACUCUCUCUCACCACCCCAGCCCCCCUGUCCAAGGUCCUGAAUUUCGGAGUGGGCGCCUUCCAUCCAGGAACCCGGAGGAGGUAAGUGCCUCUCCUGUGACUACUUCAUCCCAAAGAGCUCAUCCCACCACAACUGGGCACGUCAGGGCUGGACCUUCCACCCUCCUCAGGCAGGUGAUGAAAGACAGGGAAGGGCAGAGCCCAGCCCUGCCGAACAUGUGCAUCAAACAGUUAGCAAUGAGAUCAAGACACACCCCAGACAGUCCAGCACCGGAAAGAGUUAUGUCUUGGACCCUCCUGCUUCCUCCUGGCUCUGACUGUGUUUCUGCAUACACCCUGCUCCUGACUUUCUCCAUUCGCCUCUUCUUUAUGGCCUUGACGCCAGCGUAUUUUCUCUAGUUUUGCUCUUGCCACUUUGAGGACGCAUCAGGCUCUUCUGACUCCUGGCAAACACAGGCCCUGGUCCUCUAGACAGAGCAAUGGAGAGAUGAUUCUUUUUAAUUUUUUUGCCUUUUUUUUAGGGCCGAACCCACGGCACAUGGAGGUUCCCAGGCUUGGGGUCAAAUCGGAGCUGUAGCUGCUGGCCUACACCAGAGCCACAGCAACUAGGGAUCUGAGCUGCAUCUGCGACCUACACCACAGCUCACGUCAAUGCCUGAUCCUUAACCCACUGAGCGAGUCUGGGGAUUGAACCUUUGAGGUCAUGGAUACCAGUCAUAUUCAUUUCUGCUGAGCCACAAUGGGAACUCCAGAGAAAUGAUUCUUGAAUGUACAUUGUAAAACACCAAGUAUAGCUGAUUCAUGCCAUGUGAGGACCUUAGCCCUAAAUGUGUACAUGUGUGUGGGGAAGAUAUGUAUGCAUAUGUGUGUGUAAGCAAUAUUUAUCUUGCUAUUUUCAGGUUUGUUUUUUGUUUUUUUUUUUUGUCUUUUCCAGGGCCGCACCUGCGGCAUAUGGAGGUUCCCAGGCUUGGGGUCAAAUCGGAGCUGUAGCCGUUGGCCUAUACCACAACCACAGCAACGCCAGAUCUGAGCCUCGUCUGCGACCUACACCACAGCUCACGGCCACGCCGGAUCCUUAACACACUGAGCAAGGCCAGGGAUCAAACCUGCAUCCUCAUGGUUCCUAGUCGGAUUCGAUUCCACUGCGUCACAGCGGGAACUGCUUCUAGCACAUUUUUAGGCAACACAUAAUCUCCCCAGAUUUAGGUGAAAAAGGAACACUGCCACUUACAAAUCUCUUCUGCUGUAAACCUGUGUUCAAAUUAUUUCCUUCAAGGAAAAUCUAGGGCAUCAUAUUUUUAAAACUCUGCUUUUAGUAUGGUAAUACUUGUAUACUGCAACACCUAAGUGAUCAGCCCCCCAAGGAGGCUUUUAAAUCAAUGUAUUUAUGAUAUUAUUUUACUUUUUUAAAAA
rnacentral:lncRNA from 1 species